AGUCGCGGUAAUACGUAGAAGACUAGUGUUAUUCAUCUUUAAUAGGUUUAAAGGGUACCUAGACGGUAAAUCAAGCCUUCAAGGGGACUAGUUUACUAGAGUUACUUGUGAGGGGGUAUUAAAGUACUGCUGGUGUAGAGAUGAAAUUCUGUGAUACCUCUUUUCGUAAGAAAAAUAAUGGCACAGGUAUAGGCGAAAGCAUCCCCUUAUGUGAUAACUGACGUUGAAGGACGAAGGCUUUGUGUAGCGAACAGGAUUAGAUACCCCAGUAGUCAAAGCAGAAAAUGAUGAAUGUCAUAGAUUAGACAUAUAAUAGUUUAUUCUAUAAAUGAAAGUGUAAGCAUUCCACCUCAAGAGUAAUUUGGCAACAUUGGAACUGAAAUCAUUAGACCGUUUCUGAAACCAGUAGUGAAGUAUGUUGUUUAAUUUGAUAAUCCACAAAAAACCUUACCACAAUUUGAAUAUUUAUAUUAUUUUUCUCAUCUAUUAUAUUUUAUAAAAAUAAUACAUUUACAAGCGUUGCACGGCUGUCUUCAGUUAAUGUCGUGAGACUUUGGUUAGUUCCAUUAAAUUAACGUAAACCCUCACUUUAUUUUUAUAUAAAGUAGUUCCCCACUAGAUUGGAUAAGAUAACAGGGACUAAGACAAGUCAUCAUGGCCUAAAUAUUGU
rnacentral:rRNA from 1 species